UCUUAGUUCCUCCCAGAGCAGUGCUACGUUCACUCUGUAUAAUGUGGACUCCUCUCACCAGGGCCUCUACACAUGUGCCUACUCCUCCUCCUCUACUCGUAGCCAGCCCAUCAGCAUCACUGUAGUUGAACUACAGAAGCCAAGUCUUUCAUCGGAAACCAGCAAAAAGGUUUCUUGGGGUCAGUCUGCCCAGAUGAGGUGCUCCAUCUCCACACAGCACCUGGGUGGUACAUUUACCCUACAGCAGUCCAAUGGGUCAUUUACAGAGACCAAGACAGCCAUUGAAAGCUCUGCCCUCUUCACCAUUCCUCAAGUGGACUUUACCUCUGAAGGCGUCUACUACUGCAAGUAUAGAACAAGGGUUUCCAGUCGUGAAUUCACAUCCCCUCAAAGUGCUACUGUCAGCCUUUUUGUAAUAGUGGUGCUUGUGCAGCCCAACAUCUCUCUCAGUGCC